UCGAGAAUCUUUCACAAUGGGCGAAAGCCUGAUGGAGCGACGCCGCGUGGGGGAUGAAGGGCUUCGGCCUGUAAACCCCUGUCAUUUGCGACCAAACCGCGCAACCCAACACGUUGCGCGCUGAUGGUAGCAAAAGAGGAAGGGACGGCUAACUCUGUGCCAGCAGCCGCGGUAAGACAGAGGUCCCAAGCGUUGUUCGGAUUCACUGGGCGUAAAGGGUGCGUAGGCGGUCGGAUAAGUCGGUUGUGA
rnacentral:rRNA from 1 species